GAUGAACGCUGGCGGCGUGCCUAAUACAUGCAAGUCGAGCGAACGGACGAGAAGCUUGCUUCUCUGAUGUUAGCGGCGGACGGGUGAGUAACACGUGGAUAACCUACCUAUAAGACUGGGAUAACUUCGGGAAACCGGAGCUAAUACCGGAUAAUAUUUUGAACCGCAUGGUUCAAAAGUGAAAGACGGUCUUGCUGUCACUUAUAGAUGGAUCCGCGCUGCAUUAGCUAGUUGGUAAGGUAACGGCUUACCAAGGCAACGAUGCAUAGCCGACCUGAGAGGGUGAUCGGCCACACUGGAACUGGGACACGGUCCAGACUCCUACGGGAGGCAGCAGUAGGGAAUCUUACGCAAUGGGCGAAAGCCUGACGGAGCAACGCCGCGUGAGUGAUGAAGGUCUUCGGAUCGUAAAACUCUGUUAUUAGGGAAGAACAUAUGUGUAAGUAACUGUGCACAUCUUGACGGUACCUAAUCAGAAAGCCACGGCUAACUACGUG
rnacentral:rRNA from 1 species